CCUACGGGAGGCAGCAGUGAGGAACAUUGGUCAAUGGGCGCGAGCCUGAACCAGCCAAGUCGCGUGAGGGAGGACGGCCCUACGGGUUGUAAACCUCUUUUGCCGGGGAGCAACGGGCGUCACGUGUGGCGCCACUGAGAGUACCCGGAGAAAAAGCAUCGGCUAACUACGUGCCAGCAGCCGCGGUAAUACGUAGGGGGCAAGCGUUAUCCGGAUUUACUGGGUGUAAAGGGAGCGUAGACGGCAAGGCAAGUCUGGAGUGAAAGCCCGUGGCCCAACCACGGGACUGCUUUGGAAACUGUGUUGCUGGAGUGCAGGAGGGGUAAGCGGAAUUCCUAGUGUAGCGGUGAAAUGCGUAGAUAUUAGGAGGAACACCGGUGGCGAAGGCGGCUUACUGGACUGUAACUGACGUUGAGGCUCGAAGGCGUGGGGAGCAAACAGGAUUAGAUACCCCAGUAGUC
rnacentral:rRNA from 1 species